GCUGUGGCCGAGUGGUUAUGGCGAUGGAUUUGAAAUCCCCCCGCGUAUGUUCGAACUCUACCGGAAACG